CAGUAGCCGCGGUAAUACAGAGGGUGCGAGCGUUAAUCGGAUUUACUGGGCGUAAAGCGUGCGUAGGCGGCUUUUUAAGUCGGAUGUGAAAUCCCUGAGCUUAACUUAGGAAUUGCAUUCGAUACUGGGAAGCUUGAGUAUGGGAGAGGAUGGUAGAAUUCCAGGUGUAGCGGUGAAAUGCGUAGAGAUCUGGAGGAAUACCGAUGGCGAAGGCAGCCAUCUGGCCUAAUACUGACGCUGAGGUACGAAAGCAUGGGGAGCAAACAGGAUUAGAUACCCCGGUAGUCCCUGUCUCUUAUAC
rnacentral:rRNA from 1 species